rnacentral:rRNA from 1 species
UGUGUAAGCACAGUAAUGUGUUCAGCUAACCGAUACUAAUAGGUCGUGAGGCUUAGCCAC